rnacentral:piRNA from 1 species
UUACAAUCUGAGGCUCAAAUGUGGACAU